AAAACUGUUACCAAAAAAAAAAUUUGUUCUUAUCAGUUUAAUAUCUGAUACGUCCCCUACCCUGGGACUGCAUAUUAAAUUGAUUUUUGGAUCACGGAGCUCGAGCCGGGGCUUGCUCUGUCCACUCCAUGCAUCGGCCUAGGUAGGGUUGCGAUUGUCUCUUGGAGGUUUCCUAGCUCGAGAUGUCUUAGGCCCGGUUUCACAAAC
ensembl:snRNA U2 U2 spliceosomal RNA